rnacentral:lncRNA from 1 species
CAACGGACCCCUCUUUGCAGCCAAUGACAAGAUUUCACUGGGUGUAGGUUUUGCUUGAGUUUUGAUGCCUGUGGAAAACUCAGGCAAAUCUUCUGAAUCAUUACCAGGCCACAAAGAGUGGCGCCUGCAGAGCGAUGCCCGACAUGUCCCUGUGCACCCGAGGGCGCCAUCGAUUGAGGCCAUCAUUUACCAGGGCCGAAUAAAGUAAACGGGCUGGAAAGGAAGUGGUGACGAGCAACUGGAGGAUGAUUUAACAACACGUAGGAAACAAGGGAAAAUGAAGAAUACCAAAGUAUCUUCUUGUUUCCUGAAAGGAGGGCUGGAAUCACAAGACUGAUAACAAACACUGUUUCCCAAGAGACAGUUGGGUUGCUUUCACUUUCAAAAACAGAGGAAGAAGUGAGAGAAGGCUUUGCUGAGUAACUUGAUCAUUCUGAAGGUGGAAACCAACAUCCCGAGCUCCUUCUGCCUGUGCCCCAGGGCCAAGAUUCUCAGUUCAUCCUCUGCCUACCAACCAAGCCUAGGAGAAGUCCCUGUUCUGUCCCUUCAUCAUCCGACCCCUAUUCCCCAUGGGGUAAAGACUAGAGAAAUUCCUUGUAUUCCCUUGCCUUUAAUUUUGUUAUGCCCUAAAGCUGAGAACCAUUUGUUUGGUAAUUUACUGAUUCACAGACAGAAUUACCAGAGAAAUGUGUCCUGUUUUCUCUAUAAUGACUGAACAUGCAAUUAUAAUAAAUAUUUACUCUUACACCAAGGAAAUCUUUCUUGAAAAUAAGCUAUUUGCGUUUAUAAAUAUUAUGUAUUCUUU